rnacentral:rRNA from 1 species
GACAGAGGUCCCGAGCGUUAGGCGGAAUCACUGGGCUUAAAGCGUGUGUAGGCGGAUGCCUAAGUACCUUGUGAAAUCCCACGGCUCACCCGUGGAACUGCUCGGUAUACUGGGUGUCUUGAGCCACUUAGGGGCUACCGGAACAAAUGGUGGAGCGGUGAAAUGCGUAGAUAUCAUUUGGAACGCCAAUGGUGAAAACAGGUAGCUGGGAGUGUGCUGACGCUGAGACACGAAAGCCAGGGGAGCAAACAGG